GUUUAUGUUGCUUAGUUGGUUAGACCACUUAUUUGUUAAGUUUGAGGUUAUAGGUUCAACUCUUAUUGUUAACA
rfam:Ipomoea nil DNA, scaffold: scaffold2403, cultivar: Tokyo-kokei standard.